AGACUCUGGAGUGGAUUCCCCAAAAGCCAUGUGAACAAUGCCUGAAGCCAUUGUAGCCUCACCAAAACAAGUGUUCCAGAACUUAGGCUGACAGUGUUGAAGGAGACCGCAUCCAUUGGGAUGCACAGGGUCUCACAGCCACUGUAAUAUAAAAUGGUGUGUUAACAGCUGUUGUCUCUGGGUGGUUAGGAUUGUGAGUCUCCUCCUUUCUUUUUAGUUAACUAUUAGUUUCUGAGAGUUCUGCAAUAGUACACCUGGCCUUUGCAAAACAGAAAAAAGAAUUUUACUUAAAAAAUGCAUUUCUUUUAUAUUAGUGUGCUGUAUAAUGAAUGUAUAUAGCACAUUCAUUAAUUUGUUGAGGGCCUCAAGGAAUUUAAAUCUAGUAGCGGAAAUAAAAGAGCCAUGCAAAUAAAUGUUAUGCAUGUUUAAAGGUGACAGAUGUCAUGCGCCCAUAUAAAAUCAUGUCAUCUUGUGGCCCUAAAGGCAGAAACGUUCAUGCAUGGGAACAUCAGACAACAAUUACACUGUUAAAGUAUUCUUCUCGUGUGAAACCCUUUCCUACAGAAGGUGGCCCCUCAGGACUCUGCUCAUACAGUGAAUCUGCAAACCAUCAUUGUCUUCUCCUGCACUCCAUUAGGCAGGGCUGGUCUACCCAGGCUUCUAUCAGCUUCAGAGAAUGGGAGUGCCAAGCACUGCAACUAGGAGGAGGUAAAUCAUUAACUGCGCCAAAGGCGUCCUGGCAUUCCAUUAGCAAGCAUACUGGCCCCCUGCAGCAGGGCCAGCUCUGGUGGCUCACUGGGCUCUGGGGCAUCAAUGAUUAACUGGGGACAUUGCAAACGUUCCAGACCUCAGGGACACAAUCCUUCUGUCUCUUUCUCUUUUCCUCUCACUUUCUACACAUACCCCAAGCUUACCUCUGAAAUGCCCUCUUAAAAUAAAUAUUUAGGGAUUUGAAAAUAUGCUGAAACUGGCAUCACUUAAGAAAGUUGCAGUUCACUAUGAUACUUUUAUAGCACAUUGGACCUGAAGCAAAGGCAGGAAUUUUUGUGACCUUGUUCAGUUCCAAGGUCUGAAUGAUUUGAAACUUUAAUACUUGCCCUCCCAAUAUGGAAAAUCAAUCCGUUUUUACUGUCUGCCACUACCCUGGACCUCUGGGUGGUGAAGGAAUAAGCCUGGGUUCACAUCCUUGGGAUGCAUGACAACAGCCCUGCCCUCCCAGGUUGCCUUAUCUGCUGUCAUCACUGGCCUUCCACCAAGAAGUCAUAGCUGGGAUUUUUACAGUCAGGAUCUUCAUCAAGAGCCAGUAAAAACUCUUUGGUCCUGUAGUUUUCAGAGGGCUGCCAUGUAUAGACUCUUACUUGACUCUUGCAGCUAUGACGGAGAUGUCUUUGGUUUGGAUACCCAGAAGCAGAACCUCAGAUAGGGCUUCAGAGACCCCUUCCUGCAAGUCCUCACCAACACUCACAGCAGCUGGGAAUGGGCCUAAUGAAGGUAUACGGGUAGGGCACCAACAAUGUCCACAACAGCUCACAAAGCCAGUCGUUUUACUGGGCCCAUGUAGCCUAGAAAAGAGGCCUGGAGAAGUAGAUGGUUUGCCAUGAUCUCACAUGGCAGCUUAAAUGGCAGAUUGGAGACCAUAAUUUUGGUUUCCAGGUUGAGUGGUUGUCUCCAUGCCUCAUCGUAAAUUCAUGUUUUUGGUGAGGUAAGUUCUGUAGAACCAAAAGUAUUCAUAAGCGUCUAUCUCCAAGAGACCCUAAAUCCCUUAUAGGUUAAAGCAAUAUCUGCUCCCCACUUUUGGAAAGUGUCAAAUGGUUCACCAAGGUUAUAAUCACACCAUAAGCAAGUCUUGGGCUAUUCCCUUGUUUUCGUAAUAGGACAGGAUUGGUGCCUGCCAGGUGUGUACCUAAGACACCCCUAGGAGAGUCAGUGUGGUACAGAGAGGCUAGUAUGCAAGCCAAGGCCUGCACACUCUGGGCCUGGCUUGGUGUCCUAGCUUUCUUGGGUUGUAAUUCCUUCCUUGUAUUAAGGAGGAAAUUGCUUUUGGUAUCUAAGGUUCCUCCCAUCUCUGAAGUAUUAUGGUUUUAAAUGGUGACCCACUUAGCUUCUUAGGGAAGAUUCUUUCCUUUCCCCUGCAUUCUCCUCUGGGUCCAACCCACAGCCUUAGUACCCUCUAAUCCUCCAUAUGAGAAAACCAAGUAACCACAGAAGAAAUGCUCACAAACAUGAAUAGACAGCCCUGAGUUUUCACCACAAUGAGUUUUGGAAAUGGCACCAAAGAGGGUCACUCUAAGGAGAGAAUCGCAUUCUUGACACAGUAACCACAUUUAAUUGGAGGUUGUAUUCUUGAACAAAAGCCCGGUAUCAAAUAAAUCAAGGGUAUAACCAACAACUUGUCAUAAAAAUAAAGAUAUAGUCACCAUAACCCCUAUAAUAAUUUUAAAUAGUAAAACUGUGCUCCAGCUUCAUAAAAUGUCCUCAAAAACCUUUAUGGCCUCAAAAGGCCUUUAAAAGGAAUGAGGGCUCAUUCUGUGCUUGCUGAAGGUUGAGGAGAAAGCUGAGCUGCAGGCAGGCAGUCGCUUGGCCACUGCAUUCUACCUGCCUGUCUCACUUGAGAGGCAGUUUCCAGAACCUGGUGCUGCCUUGAGAUUUACUUAAUGACUAAAAGCAAAACAUCUGUUAGAGCACUAAACAUUUUGGUUUUUCUCUAACAUAUAUCAAGGGCUUUCAACUUAUCCUCAGUUGCUUAGGACGGGCUACCAUAGCCUGUGCUCAGAGCAGGGGCAAAUUCUUUGUCCCUAUAGGUCCUCCAAGACUCAAAGCAACAUAUCCAUCUUCUCCAAGCUUGGUGAGUAGCAGAAAGGGGGUGAUUGUGCUGAUUCUGCAGAUCUGCCGCAUGUCUUUUUUGUCUGGCAGGGCCUGGCGCAAUGCACACACUACAAACCCACACAGCUGCAGGGCACAGCUGCGGUGGCCCAACCGCAGAUAGGUCACAUGAGCAGGAAGAAGGAACUGAGGCUCUGCCCACAUCAGGGAUGGAGGAAGACCAGGAAGGAGAGAAAGCAGGAUUGAGCUGAGGCCAGGGAGAAAACAGACUGCCCAGCAGGACACUGGGGAUUGGGAAGAUGCACCAAGAAGAUAUGAGCAGUGAGCUGAAGAAUCUUUAGGGCUGGGAACAACAGACCCGAGGGGUUGCCACUGAGUAUUUACUUGAUUGUUAAGUAACUGAAGGGAUGCUGGGAAAGGCUGGGCCUGGAGGAGGGGACAUUAAGGAAUUCUUCUAGAUGGACAUCUCCCCUAAGCUGACAAAGCCUCAUUCUGCAACACUGUCUAUGUAUUCAUGAUUGUUGCCUGCCUGCCUGUAACACAUUACUGUGAACUUCUUACCCUGUUACAAGUGUUGUUUCUCCUAUGAUAAAAGACUAGAAGAGGACUGGUGAUUAAAAACUGAAAAAUAGUAGGAAAUAAAACCAAUGGUGCUGAGGGAUUAGCUGAAGAAGAAUCAAUCUUCUUCUGCCCCAUCUCCAAGUAUAAGCUCACUCAGAUAAUAAAUGGACGUGGUUGCACAAAAAAAAAAAAGAAGGAAAACAUUAACACCCCAAACAAAUCAGACCACAGAAAAUGUCUAUAAAACUUACCUCAUGGGUAUGUUAUGAGGGUGAAGAGUGAAGGGUGAGCCAGGGGCAUGGCAUGACCAAGCUUCAGAGCCUGCGUCUGUGUCAGCAACUGGCACUCAGCCCCAUAAGCAGGCAGGCACUUAAUUAAGGCUUUGAAUAAUCCCAUUGCCAACAGUCAAAAGCCUUAACUGAACCCACAGAACCCAUCAGGAAGAGACCAUACCAACUAAAAACAGCAAUUAGUGAGAGGCUUAAACUGCUGGAUGCUCCCCACCCCCAUGUCCAACUUGUAAACCAAUGAGGACAAAAGUGCUUCCGUGUAAAUAAAACCAGAAUGCAGAGAAUUGUUCCUCUCAAUGGCUCAGCAAAUGCCAUGUGGGUCUCCAGGGACAGAUGCUCAAAGUCUCUUUCUCUGUGAUCAGCCACUCUCACUUCCUAUGGCAUGCUUUCUUUUCCUAUGACCCGAGACAUAGGAAUCCCUGCACCUCGACAUCUGCAAGGCUGAGGACUUGUUUCUGUCACUGAAAACACAAGGCAAGUUAUAGCUCCGUAGCUGGGGGUUACAAUUCAAGCCCUUCUGGACCGCUUAAUCAAAAAGAUCUAUUUCCUUUUAUCUAGACCAACCUUAUCAACACAUGCAACUUUUUGAUUCCCUUUUAAUGAUAUAAGCAUCUAAAACCCUUUGGAGCAGCCAAACAAAGAUACAGAUUUUUCUUUCUUUCUUUCUUUCUUUUUUUUCUGAGACACGUUCUCACUCUGUUGCCCAGGCUAGAGUGCAGUGGCACAAUCAGCUCAUUUUGCAGCCUCGAACUCCUGGGCUCAGGUGAUUCUCCUACUUUAACCUCCCAAGUAGCUGGGACUAUAGGCAUAUGCCACUAUGCCCAGCUAAUUUUUUGUACUUUUGUAGAAAUGGGGUCUUUCCAUGUUGCCCAGGCUGGUCUUGAACUUCUGGUCUCAAAAGAUCUGCCUGCCUUGGCUUCCCAAAGUGCUAGGAUCAUAAGCAUGAGACACUGUGCCUGGCCAAAGACAUAGAAUUUUAAGUGUGAUGGGCAACUUCUCACGUUGAUACCUUCCUUGUUCCCCCAAAUGCAUUGUUUUCAUAGCAAAACAGAUGUCCUUCUGGUUUAACUCCCAGCCCUUCUGGGAUAGUUGUGGGGCUCCAGGCUUUCCAGAACCUCUACACAAAACUUUGGGGUUCUGGCUGUACUCUCACCAUGGGUCUCCACGGAUACUGUGUCUUCAGCUGGAGGAGCAAGCCCAGGAGAUCACUCUUCUGUGGCAGCUCUCCAGUUUCUGCUACCAAAUAGAGAUGCACUCUCAGACAUAUUAAGUAUUAAUGAGAGGCAUGUGGCAUUGCAGAGGUUUAACAAAUUAAUGCUGUGGUUUGACGUGGUUUUGAUUUGCUAGGCUCUCCUGCCUGCCAGUGUAAGCAGCAUUCCUCUCCUUUGGAGGAAGUGCCUCCUCCCUUUCCACCCAUUAUGUGUUAGACCCGGUGGGGAUGCCAAUUGGUAAAAUGCCUCCUGGCCAAAGCACUUGGUCUCAAACAAUAGGCAUAUGUUCCAAGCCAGCCAAUGAGAGAUCUUCCCUGCAACUUUAUCUUUGAAUAUUGAGAGACCAAAGCUGUCUCUUUUCACAGAGACCCAAAACUGAGAAGAUGUAAGACUUAGCCUAUCUGCAGCCGUUCUCUCCCAAGCCCCAUUAUCUAUUUUCUUGCCUCCUCCCAGAAGGAGGAAGCCAUCUGGAGAAUAAGAGCUGAUAUAUACAGUGAAGAGAAGAAAUGGAGACAGAGUUGACAGAGCUGUGGUAGACUCUGGACCCGCUCAGUUUUCAGCUUCACUUCGCAACCCAGGCUCUGGAAGUAUGUCAUCUUCCAAUUGCUUCAUCAUUGCCUACUCUCCUAACCACAGGCAUAGCGCGUCAGAAGACUGAAACCCAACUCAGCCAACCAUCUAUUCACAUGCCAUCAUCCACGAGUUUGUUGACAUCUCUCAUUUGCUGUUGUCUCUCCUCAUUCUUUCUGUCCUCAUAGGUUUAUAAGUUUUCAUUUUCUUUCUUUAAAAACUCAUUUUAAGGACACCAUUAUUUUUAAAAAAAGCAAUAGAAAAUAACAAGUAUGGGCAAAGACGUGGAGAAAUUGGAACCGUCGCACACUGCUGGUGGAAAUGUAAAAUGGCAGAGUUCUUCAAAAAAUUAAAGUUCCAUUAUCAUAUGAUCCAGCAAUUCCACUUCUGAGCAUAUACUUAAAAUAAUUGAAAGCAGGGACUUGAAAAGAAAUUUGUACACCCAGGUUGGGUGUCGUGGCUCACACCUGUAAUCCAGCACUUUGGGAGGCUGAGGCAGGUGGAUCACCUGAGGUCAGGGGUUCGAGACCAGCCUGGCCAACAUGGUGAAACCCCGUCUCUACUAAAAAUUCAAAAAUUAGCCGGGGGUGGUGGCGCAUGCCUGUAAUCCCAGCUACUUGGGAGGCAGAGGCAGGAGAAUUGUUUGAAUCCAGGAGACAGAGAUUGCAAUGAGCCGAGAUUGCGCCAUUGCACUCUAGCCUGGGUAACAGAGUGAGAUUCCACCUCAAAAAAAAAAAAAGAAAGGAAAAAAAACAAAAGAAAAAAGGAAUUUGUACACCCACAUUCAUGACAGCAUUAUUCACAACAUCCAGAUAGUGGAAGCAACCCAAAUGUGCAUCAACAGAUAAAUGGACAAGCAAAAUAUGAUAUAUGUGUACAAUGGGAUAUUAUUCAGCCUUAAAAAGGAAGGUUCUGUGGUUUGGCAUUACAUAGGGAAAAAUUUAAAAAGGAAGGAAAUGCUGACAUAUGCUACACUGGUGAACCUUGAAGACAUUAUGCUAAGUAAAGUAAGACGGUCACAAAUACAUUAUAAUUCCACUUAUGUGAGGUACCUAGAGUAGUAAAAUUCAUAGAGACAGAAAGUAGAAUGGUGGUUGCCAGGGGCUAGAGGGAAAGGAAGUAAGAAGUUAUUGUUUAAUGGGUGGGAACUUUCAGUUUUACAAGGUGAAAAGGUUCCAGAGAUAAAUGGUGGUGAUGGUUGUGCAACAAUGUGAAUGUACUUAGUGCCGCUGAACUGUCCACUUAAAAAUGGUUAAAGUGGUAAAUUUCAUUUCAUGUGUAUUUACCACAAUAAAAAAGUCAAUGAGCCAAUAUAUAAAAAUCUAUUUCAGAACUCUCUGUUCUGUUUCAAUUAGCUAUAUGUUUAUCCCUUUGCCAAAUGUUACACUGCCUUAUAAUAAAUAAAUCAGACCAAAGCCACUCUCUGUUUUGAAAAUUUCCAAUGAGUUCUCAUUGUGCUAUGAAUAAGACCUGGCCUGCCUAUUUCUCUCCACCCUCAUUCCCCCUUCUCUGCCUCGUGACCACACAGGCUCCAGGCCGCCCAGAAGUGGCUCGCAGCCUCGAGGCCCACAGCACAUGCAGUCAGGGCUGUGUAAGAGGUGUGUGCUGAGGACCAUGGGAGCACGGAGGAGGGUGAGGGCUCCACAGAGGUGUUGCUGUGAGUUGAGCAAGAAGGGAGGACCACCUCUUAAUAUAGCAUCUGCCCCAGGGGAGCAGCAGUAGGGGUGACUUACAGGGCUGGGGCUGGCGCCCAAGGGUUUGUAGGGAAAGGGUGAACCCAGUUUGCACUAGAAGCGAGAUAGCUCCCAACAGCCCUGCCCGCCUUAGGAGGGGUCCUCGGAGACCCCAGGUUGUGAGCCGAGGCAGAUUCCAGGUCGUGCCAGCACAUAAACAGCUCUUGCUGAACCAGAGUAGCUCUCCUCAGCCACUUCCGCCUGAUCUAUUGGCUCUUGCCAACUUAGUUCCACAGGGCACAGCCCUCUCACAAGCUAUUGCUCAGGAAUUUUAGGGCAAUGGCCCAGGGGUUGCAGAAAAGAAAAGAAACACAUACCAACAAC
rnacentral:lncRNA from 1 species